UACGUAGGGGGCAAGCGUUGUCCGGAAUCAUUGGGCGUAAAGCGCGUGUAGGCGGUUACGUAAGUCUGCUGUGAAAGUCGGAGGCUCAACCUUCGAAAGCCGGUGGAUACUGUGUGACUAGAGUACGGAAGAGGAGAGUGGAAUUCCUGGUGUAGCGGUGAAAUGCGCAGAUAUCUGGAGGAAUACCGGUGGCGAAGGCGGCAUCCUGGACCGACAUUGACGCUGAACGGCGAAAGCUAGGGGAGCAAACGGG
rnacentral:rRNA from 1 species